rnacentral:rRNA from 1 species
UACGUAGGGGGUAAGCGUUGUCCGGAAUCAUUGGGCGUAAAGCGCGCGUAGGCGGCCCGGUAAGUCCGCUGUGAAAGUCAAAGGCUCAACCUUUGAAUGUCAGCGGAUACUGCCGGGCUAGAGUCCGGAAGAGGCGAGUGGAACUCCUGGUGUAGCGGUGGAAUGCGCAGAUAUCAGGAAGAACACCAACGGCGAAGGCAGCUCGCUGGGACGGAACUGACGCUGAGGCGCGAAAGCGUGGGGAGCGAACAGG